UGACUGCCCAACAAUCAGUUCUUGGUGAAAAUGAAAGUGAAUUGAAUAUCCCAGAAGUUCUUCUCCACACUUAAGAGGAAUAAAGUUAUUCCUUCCAAUUGCCCCACAACACUUUAUGUAACUUGGAUCUGAGGAUCUCAUUGACCAAAGAAAGUUUGAAGUUCUUGCCUACAAUUGGUUAGAUGGAUGCUGAGGGCUCUUCCAACUAUCACCACUCUAACACAAGGGAGCAUUGAAGCAGCCUUUCAGCAGAGGAAGCAACCUCGACCUAUUUGUUAUUUGAGGACUGCCUGUAUAUGCAGA